rnacentral:lncRNA from 1 species
AGGCGGAUGACUUUGGAGACACUCCUGCAUGAUGAUGAGAGAUACCAAGAAACUGUCCAUGAUGUGCCUUCAUUACAGGAAGUGAACCGAAUGAUUGCUAGGACUGAACGUGAAGUUGAACUUUUUGACCAGAUGGAUGAAGACUUUGAUUGGACGGGGGAUAUGAUGAAACAUCAUCAGGUUCCAAAGUGGCUCCGUGCAAGCUCCACUGAAGUAGAUGCUGUUGUGGCAAGUCUAUCCAAAAAGCCGUUGAGGAAUAUGUCGUCUGGUGGCAUUGCUUUAGACACUAAUGAUACACCUGAGAAGAGAAGGGGGCGGCCAAAGGGUACUGGCAAGUACUCCAUCUACAGGGAGAUUGACGACGAAGAUCUUGAAGAAUCUGAUGAAGGUUCUGAGGAGAGGAAUACCACACCCCUGCCUGAAGAUGGGGAAAUAGAGGAAUUCGAAGAUGAAGAGGACAAUGAUUAUUCGGUACCUGAUAACAAGGAUGAAUCAGAGGAAGAAGAGCCAAUCAAUGAUGAUGGGUACAAUUUUACCAAUGGAUUAAGAAGCAGAAAAGCUAUUAGGAUGGAAGAAGCUGGUUCCACAGGCUCUUCUUCUGGAAGCAGGAGAUUACCACCACCUGCACCUUCCUCUUCGUCAAAAAAAUUGCGGUCUCUAUCUGCAUUAGAUGCCCGGCCUGGUUCUUUGUCAAGGAGAACUGUAUGUAUUGACAUGUUGUUGUCAUUUGUCUCUUUUGUUUUUCUCUUGAAAUGUUAAUUAACGAGAUCAUGAUGCUUUUUAACUGGUUAUUUACAGCUGGAUGACCUGGAGGAAGGUGAGAUUGCAAUGUCAGGGGACUCGCAUAUGGACCUCCAGCAGUCAGGGAGCUGGAAUCAUGAACGUGAUGACGGUGAGGAUGAGCAUGUGUUGCAACCAAAAAUAAAACGCAAACGGAGUAUUCGUAUUCGUCCAAGACUGAAUGCAGAAAAGCAGGAAGAUAGAUCUGGUGGAGAAGCGGUCUUCCCUCAGCGUGGUACUCAUCAUGCAUUUCAAGGCAGUGAUGAUUAUAAUUCACAAUUUAAGUCUGACCUAGAUUCACAUGCUUUUGCUGAUCCAGCUGCCAGGCAGCAAGACGCUGUUCAUCCUAUGGUCAAACAGAAGCGCAACAUGCCAUCUAGGAAGGUUUCGCCUGCUCCUAGAACAGGGAAAUCGACUUACUUGUGUGGAUCCGGGGAAGGAUCUGUUGAACGCUCCAAGGAAAAUUGGAGCAGUAAGGCCAUGGACUCUUCUACCCCAGAGUUCCGUGGCACAAAGAUGUCUGACAGUAUGCAAAGAAAGGUAGGUACACAAACUUUAGCCCUUUGUGCCAUACUGUAUUUCGGGUGAUUUGUUCUACUGACUGUUCUUCAAAAGGUUGUUGAACGUGAUUCUCUGUAGAAUUAAAAUGCUUUAUCAUCGAACUUAAGCUUAAUGUGCUCAUAUUUUUUACAUCAUCUGGGUUGCAUGCAGUGGAAGUUUCUUUUUUGGGUGAGCUGUAUACGCAUGGAAUUGGAAUUAAGAUUUAGCAUUAUUUUGUGGCUCGUCCUGUUCCUUUGGCAUACCAUAUGUUUAUCAAUAUUGUUUUAACUGGGAUUCUUUUAUUCCUUUGGCUUGUCAUAUGGCUUGUUAUGUUUUACCCUUUUGUUAUAUAUACUAUCUCAUAUGGCUGAGCUGAAGCUGUUCUCGACCUGAAUACCUACAGUGCAAGAAUGUGAUAAGCAAGCUUUGGAGGAGGAUUGACAAAGAGGGUCAUCAAAUCAUACCUAAUAUAUCUUCUUGGUGGCGGAGGAAUGAAAAUUCCUCAUUCAGAGGUCCAUCUUGCAGCACCCUUGACCUACAGAAAAUUGAACAGCGAGUUGAUGGAUUCGAGUAUAGCUCUGUAACUGAGUUCAUAGGGGACAUGCAGCAGAUGUUGAAGAGUGUGGUUCAGCAUUUCAGCUAUAGGCAUGAGGUACUCUACUGUUUGGCAUCAAACUUAUCUUGUUAUAUCUAUUGUAGUGAUCUGGUGUGGUGGCCUAGUAGAAUAUUAAUUUGCUCCAAUUAAAUGCAGGUACAGAUAGAAGCUGAGACCCUCCAUAACUUAUUUUUCAACAUAAUGAAUAUUGCGUUCCCAGACUCGGACUUCAGCGAAGCUAAGAAUGCAAUGUCAUUUUCAAAUCCUGGAAGAGCUGCAAGUGGCACUGCUGGGCCAUCAACAAAGCAUGCUGCUUUAGGCCAUAAGCGCCGUGCUAGCACCAGUGAAGCGGAGCAGCAUGGCUCAGGACAUAUCAGGCAUAAUCAGUCUAGCGAGGUUCCUAGUCGGCCUCACAGUUCCAGAUCAGAGAUAGACUCAAGGCAUUCUGGAUCCGGCAGCCGAGAUCAGCUCCCAGAUGGUGCUGGGUUGUUGCACCCGAGCGAUAUGUUCAUUGUUAAGAAGAAAAGGCAAGAACGGGCAAGGAGCAGCAUUGGGUCUCCGUCUAGCUCAGGACGAGCUGGACGGCUCUCGCCAACCAACCCUGUGCGGCUGGGCUCAGUGCCCUCACCCAGAGGUGCCAGGACGCCAUUCCAAAGGGAUGCACAUCCAUCUCAGCACUCGGUGCAUUCCACUGGGUGGAUUGUGCAUUCGGAUCAUGGGGGAAGUUCCUCAGCACCUGGCAUUGGAGACAUCCAAUGGGCCAAGCCAUCCAAGCGACAAAGGACUGACGCUGGCAAGAGGCGGCCGAGCCAUUUGUGAGAAAUUUUUGCAUCACGGUGGCAUCCUUGAUUGGUAUAUCUGUGAAGGGUGGACUCCAUUGGUGGGGGCUUAUUCAUGUCAUUUUGACACCCUGUUGAGUUCAUAUAUGACCACCGUGCUGGACUUUUGUUGUCGUGGGCAUGAAGAAAUGAGGAUAGAGUUAUUUUUCUUGUAUGUUAGGUUCAUUUCAUCGUUCUGUAAAGGGGAACUCUUAUGGAGUUAUGGUGGCGUGAGGCAAACUAGAAGAUACAUUCACAUGGGCAUUAAAGAUAGAGGCUCAGCUGGCUGAGAUAAUAAAUUACUCCAUGUAUACGUUCCAAAUUGUAGGUCGUUUUAGCUUUUCUAGUUUUGUAGGUAUUAUUAUGCAUCUUAGAUAUAGUGUAUGUCUAGAUGCAUAAUAAUAUUUAUGAAUUUAAAAAAUUCAAAACGAUCUACAAUUUGGAACAUAAAUAUUAUUAUAAAUUUAAAAAAUCCAAAACGACCUACAAUUUGGAAAGGGAGGAGCGGUUAUAUUUCCAUGUAUUUUUUUAUGGCUCUAAUAUCUGAGUGAAUUAUGCGAAUUCUGUAUCAUCGCCCUAGUGACGAGUGACGAGACAACAAGCUUUCUUGCCCUCUGUUAACUCUUGACUAUUUGUGUACGGAAUGCUUGUCAGCAUCGUGAAAAUACCAAGUCGUGGUCACUUGCAAGCGGACGCAGACCUGCCUGCGACUGGGAGCCUGUUAGGCCCGAGACUCCAAUACGACUUCGACUGGGAGCGUGAUUAUGUUGUUUUAGAUUUUUAGAUCCAUACAUUUUGUUGCAUCUUGAUAUAAUAUAUGCAUCUUGAUAUAAUAUAUAUCUAAGUGUAUAGCAAAAUGUAUAAAUCUAAAAAACCAAAACGACCUAUAAUUUUGGACAGAGGAGUACUCCCAUCUCUCUCCAUCAUUUUACUGCAUCUUGACAUAAUAUAUAUCUAGGUGUAUAACAAAAUGUAUGAAUUAAAAAAUUAAAACAACCUAUAAUUUUGGACGGAGGAGUACUCCCAUCUCUCUCCAUCAUUACAGCCUAUCGACCGCGGGAACGCCAUUCAAUAUUUUUUAUAUACAUGUAAGAUUCAACAAUUCAUGAAUAGGAUAGUCUAAUUCAAUAUUUACAGAGGUCACGUAUUUAUUGAUGGCUUGCUCCCCCACAGAUUUUAUCCCGCCUAAUACAUGUUUUAAUAUAUUUUUUUACAUGAAAUUCAACAUUUUGAAUAGGCUAAUUCAACAUUUCACGAGGAUCAGGUAUUUACUUAUGAUUGACUUGAGUCAUUUAUUUAUGGUUGGCUUGCUCCCCUCAUCUUAGCUAUCAAAUACUGAAAACUUCGUUAAAAAAAUAACAUGCGAGAGUUAUGUAGGUUUCCUAGCUAGGCCCUCUCUGGCCUGUCAAAUCCCUUGAUCUGCUUCGUACUUCUAUCAAUUGUUGCUAGUUCGUAUCAUACUUCUUGAUUACUCCCUCCGUACCAAAUUACUAUUAUAUCUAGGUCCAUAUCAAAUGCUAUGUAUCUAGAAAAGCCAAAACGAAUAGUAAUUUGGGACGGAUGGGGUAGUUCAUAUCCUCAUAUCAUGCCUCAGAUUUUGCGGUGCAUAUAUAUUUCUAGUUGACUUGUUGCAAUCGUCCAAGAGUGCAGCAUAUGCCUAAAAUUCCUUUGUUUCCUCUCUGAAUUUCUAAGGAGGUUUGACAGAUAUUUGCUGCUUCAUAACAUAUUUAAUUCUUUGAUCGUACACUUUUAAUUUGAACUAUCUGAAUCUUUUUUAAAAUAUGCUCAAACAGAGAGCAAAUUCUCACUCACAGCAAUUACUAUUUAUAGUAAAUGUUAUUGUUGUAGAAAAAUAUUGAAAUGCAUGUUACAUUUGUCGAAAUUUUGAGACUCUUCAAAUACAUCCCACAUCCCCUUUUUGUUUGUCGCUGCAUCGGAUUUGUUUGGACAACAACGAUAGUACGUCCCGCUCAAGCAUGUCUAAGGCUCGGGAUGAGGUUGAUGUCCCAAUCCUAAAAACAAAGUGACAAUGUAGCAUAGAUUGUAGUGCUUGCUAGUGGACUGGUCAUCUUAUGCUUUGAAUCAUAGAUUGUAUUGAUGUAACACUUUUGUAGUCAACUAAUAUAAUAUUAGUAGGCGCCAGUUAAACCUACGCUAGUGCAAUUAUUGUGUUGCCUCCUAGUUGCGUAAAUAUAUGAUUGUAUUGUUCUAUUUGUCCCAUGGAAGUAGUAGACCCUUAUCAGUUUAUUUUCAAUCUUUCACUAGUUCUCCAUCUCCUCUAUGUGCUAUUUCUGCACCUAGUUUUGGUCCAUUAACCUUAAAAUUGGAUCUAAAAAUUGUGGAAAGCUGCCUAGUCUACGUGAGAAUCGGCUGUAUCUAAAAAACCGCUAACCUUACCCGCGCCUAAAAACCAUACUUGAAGAAAACCACCAGUGCCAAAAAAUCCUCAGGAGGAGGGGGGGUUGUCGAAUCCAGACUUUCUGUCUCCGAGGGAAUAACUCCCACCACUUGUUCUACGUUUUUCUUGUAUUUUAGGAACACAUUUUCAUUCUAUUUGUGCUUCAGAUGUCCACAUAAAAUUUGAAUAAUAUUCUAUACUUUAUCUUCAUGGCGAAUUUUUGUGAAACCCUUACGUUUGCAAAGGGGGUCUAAGUCAUGGGACCAUCUUGGUAUUAUCAUAUGAUUAUGUCAAAUGUAUGUCUUUUUCUUUGUACCAUAUUGACAUAAAAAAGGUCUACCUGCCAGUCGGGCAUUAAAAAGAAUACGAAACUAUUAAGAAGAAAUAAAUCCAUAAUGGUGGCUUAGUUGUCCUCCGUACGAUGCUAUUUUUUAAGAAUCCCCUUGUGUUAAAAGAGAAGUGGGGUGACAUCGUAGUGCGACCAUGACCAGUGGAGGAGGACAUUCCGGGUGAUGGGUGAGCCCUAGCCGGCAGAGGUGGUGGUGGAUCAAGCCUCGGGCAACUAGAGAGGGAGGGAGGGAGGAGGAGGAGAGAGAGAUAAUGCCGAGAUAUUUUGCUCGUUGAUGGGUUGAUCUCAACAGUUUAUAGAAUUGAUUGGAUUGUUGAAGUUGAGACAGGGUCAAGAUAGAUACGGUGAUAUUUUAAUGUAUCGAUUUCGAGUUUUGGACUAAGGAGAUGUUGUCUCUAACUCUCGGCCUUUUAAGGUUUUCCGUUUCAAUUCCGUUGCAUUUAUGGUAUGAUGUAUUUAUAUAUACUUCACACGUAGCAACACACGUGCAUAUUUACUAGUUAUUAUAACAGCUAUAUAACAGCUAUAUAACGUCUAAUGGCAAAUAUCCACUAUCAAAGUUCGCGAAUCCAUAGGGCGUUGAUGGGUUCAUCUUAAUUGUUUAUGGAUUCGAUUGGAUUGUUGAGGUCGAGACAGGAUCAAGAUAGAUAGGGUGAUAUUUUAAUGGAUCGAUUUCGAGUUUUGGACUAAGUAGAUGUUGUCUUGGACUCUCGACCUUUUAAUGUUUUUUUCGUUUCAAUUCCGUUGCAUUUAUGGUACUAUGUAUUUAUAUAUAGUUCACACGUAGCAAUACACGCGCAUAUUUACUAGUUAUUAUAAUAGCUAUAUAACGUCUAAUGGCAAAUAUCCACCGCCGAAGUUCGGGAAUCCACUUGUAAGGAUCAACUUAAAUACUCCCUUCAUCUAGAAAAAAAAUGCAAUUCUACAAUUCAAAAGUUGUAAAAAAAUGUACUCACAUGUAGCGUGGGUGCAUAUAGCAAUUUAAAUAGUGUUUACUUAAAAAAACCAAUAUCGGACUCUGUGCAAUAGCAAAAUUACCUUAUCAAAAUUUUACAUGCGGCAGCUGCCCCGCUGCAUCCUUCUGGUACCGCGACUGCGAGUCUUGGCGUGGGAUCCGGGAGGGCGGUCCGCGAAUAAAAGGUUGCCCCAACCCUAGCCCCCUCAUUUUUCCCCUCCGCGUCUCUCCGGCCAUCCCCCUCCAUUCGGUCUUCGCCGGGCCCUUUGCCGGCGACGACCACCCACCAGGUAUGCUCUCCCCUUCUCUUCCCUUCCUGCUGUGCGAAACGGAGCACCCAAAACCCUAAUAUAAGCAAUUUGUAUCCGGAUCUGACCCACUUACAAUAUAUUACCAAAACUAGCUUCGAUUUUGUUUGCAAAAAUUAUCAAGUGUAGAUGUGCACACCCAUGUCCUAUGCUGGGUCCGCCCCGGAUUUCGUGUAGUCACGGUUUCAAUUUGGAAUUGUUGUCUGGUUCUUAUCCCGUCUCAAUUCGGUUUGGUUUUUCCGCGUAAUUUGGAUAAGCGCUGUUCUUUAGUGGGGUUGAUGCGGAUUUUUGUUUGCUUUUAGAGGAUCCGAACCUUUCCAUCGGUUUUGUCUGCUUGUUGUCUUGAUGCAGUUUUUCUAGUUCUUGGUUCUGCGAGGUUUUAGACUUCUGGAUCGGUCACUCUCUUUCAGGGAAUGACGCAUCACCAUGAACAACAGCAUGCAUACCAAUCCGGUGCGCCACCUGGCAUGAUGGGACAAGGUGGCGGCAGUAGCUUCCCUCAGUCCUCCAGCCCAAUGCCCCCGGUCCAGGGUCAGAUGAACCUGCCACUAUCCGGCGGACCACAAGGCAUGGUUGGAGGUCAGGUGCACAACCAGGUUGCGAUGCAGCAACAAUACCUGAAGCUUGCGAUGCAGCAGCAGCAGAAGGCGGCCCAUGGGAUGCUCCUCCAGCAGCAGGCCAAGAUGAAUAUGCCGGGGUCAUCAUCAAGAGACCAAGAUAUGGUUAACAACCCUGCCAAGAUGCAGGAGCUUAUGGCCAUUCAGGCACAGAUGUUUAAGCGACAGGCUGAACAUCUUCAGCAUGCGGAAAAGCAGAAAGAGCAUGAACAACCAAGCAGUAAUGAGCAAAGAAGCGGUGAUAUGAGGCCUCCAAUGCCUCCUCCCGGAGUCCCUGGACAGCAGUUGCCAUCAGUGGGUAUGAUGAGGCCCAUGCAGCCAAUGCAAGGCCAGGUGGGCAUGGGCAGCACCGGUGGUGGCCCAUUAACACCGUUGCAGUUUCAAGCCAUCCAAGCCUGGGCAAAGGAGAACAAUUUUGACCUGUCCAAUCCUGCAAACAUGAGUGCAAUUUCUCAACUCCUGCCGAUCUGGCAGUCAAGUAGGAUGGCAGCUGUGCAGAAGCAGAAUGAGGCAAGUAUGGCUGCGCAGCAGCAAGCAACACCCUCGCAAGUGAACAGUGAUACCCCAGGGCGUGGUAAUGUUCCCAAUCAGGGUGCCCCAUUGAAGCCCGGUCAACCCCUUCCCCCAAGCUCAGUUUCUGGUGGAGAAGAGGCUAAGGUAAUGAAUUCGAGCAACCUGCAGUUGCAACAACAGUUAUCUGCCCAUAGCAGGGAUGGCUCAAAUGAAAGGGCCGUGAGGGCUCCUAUGACAGUGGGCAAUGGUGCACAGAUGAUGCAUAUCCCGCAAAGCUCUGGACAUGUGAAUAAAGUUCCCGAGCAAUCCAAUCCAAAAACUGUGCUCGCAAAUUCAGAAGCGAUGCAGAUGCAGCAUGCGAGACAGAUGCAGCAGCUUAACCAAGCAGGUGCCCCCACAGCAUCCUCUGGCGAAGCAGGAGGAUCACAGCCCCCAACUCCAAGUGCUCGGCCGCAAACAGGGCAAACGGGUUUCACAAAAAAUCAACUUCAUGUACUCAAAGCUCAGAUAUUAGCUUUUCGGCGUUUAAAGGUAUGGGAAAUAUGAAACUUCAAGUCUAUUUUGUUUUUGUUUAUGAGAUCCGACCCAUAAUUUGAAAAUGUGGUUCGGCUGAUCAAUCUAACAUCAUUGCGGUUUUCAUUUCCCUCCUUUGAUUGCUUUCCUUUAUCAGCGUGGUGAUCGUACACUACCGCCAGAAGUUCUUGAAUUAAUUGUGUCUGGGCGGGCUCCUGAUUCACAAGGGCAGCAGAUUUCUGGACCUCAGCCAACGCAUAACCGUGAAGGGCCUGGUGUAAGCAGCGCUGAUGAACAUGGAAAGCACAUGGAGAGUGGUGAUAAAGCUCCUGAAAAACCUCCAUUGUUGAAGGGACCCUGCUUACCGAAGGUGGAGGUUUCUGCAUCAGAUGACAAAGCUAGUUCCGUGAGUGGUCCUGGUCCCAUGCAAGUAAUGAAAGCUUCACCAAAAGAGUCUCUUAAAAUUGGACCAGUUUCAGUACCAGAGCAUAGUAACACUACUGUGAUUAAAUCUGAGCAGGAUCUAGAGCGGGGUAUCCAGAGAACUCCCGGGAGAAGCGAUUACAAUGCUGAGAGGGGUAAAUCUUUACCGGCAGAAAGUAGUUCAGCAGAUGCUGAGCAAGCAAAAAGGGCUGGCUCCACAAGCAGUGCCCCAGCUCCAAGGGAUGUUCCAAGAAAAUACCAUGGUCCGCUAUUCGAUUUCCCGUCCUUCACUAGGAGGCAUGAUUCCUUGGGACCUGCAAAUUACAACGGUAACCUGUCACUAGGUUAUGAUGUGAAAGAUUUAUUAGCUCAGGAAGGGAUGAUUGUUUUUGGUAAGAAACGUGAGGAUAACUUAAAAAAGAUUAGUGGUUUGCUUGCGAUUAAUCUAGAGAGGAAAAGAAUCCGUCCCGAUCUUGUCUUGAGGCUACAGAUUGAAGAAAAGAAGCUCAAACUCCUAGAACAUCAGGCUCGCCUAAGGGAUGAAGUUGAGCAUGAGCAACAAGAAAUAAUGGCAAUGCCAGAUAGGAUAUACAGAAAAUUUGUCAGACAAUGUGAACGUCAACGUGUUGAGCUUGUUAGACAGGUUCAGCAGAUGCAGAAAGCCUCAAGAGAGAAGCAGCUGAAAUCCAUUUUCCAGUGGCGCAAGAAGCUUUUGGAGGCACAUUGGGCCAUUCGUGAUGCUCGAAUAACUCGUAAUAGAGGGGUGGCCAAGUACCAUGAAAGGAUGUUGCGCGAAUUCUCGAAGAGGAAAGAUGAUGAUAGGACAAAAAGGAUGGAGGCGUUGAAAAACAAUGACGUGGAGAGAUACCGUCAAAUACUGUUGGAACAACAGACUAGUGUUCCUGGUGAUGCGGCUCAAAGGUAUAAUGUUCUAUCUUCUUUCCUGACCCAGACUGAAGAGUACCUUUAUAAGCUUGGAGGAAAAAUAACUGCUGCCAAGAGUCAGCAGCAAGUAGAAGAAGCAGCAAAUGCUGCUGCUGCAGCUGCACGGGCACAGGUACUUUGACUCUCUUUGCUUUGGAUUAAUGAAACUGGCUUGUCCCCAACCCCCUCCCGCUUUGGUUUUGUAUCAUUUGAUAACGAAGGUUUCUGUAGACAGUAGCUCAAGCAUUCGUGGUUUAACAUCAUGUAUGCCUUGGUGCUGCAUGUAACCAGGUUCCUUGUUGCUAAUCCUAUGCAUGAAUAUGCUGCUUUGUUUAACAGGGUCUAUCUGAGGAAGAAGUGAAGGCUGCUGCACAAUGUGCUGGUCAGGAGGUUAUGAUAAGGAACACAUUCUCUGAGAUGAAUGCACCAAGGGAUAAUGCAUCUGUUAACAAGUAAGAAGCAAGUAAAUUGAUAAUGUAGUUGUAUUGGAAAAAGUUUCCAAGUUGCUAUUUCUUAACUUUAGAUAUGCACCUGGAGUAAAUUUCAGUUGCAUUUUUGGAGCCUGCAUUUUUUCCGUUUGGUAUUUGAGGUAGAGGUUGUGGGAUCAACAGGGGCUUCAAAACAUACUUUUCACUCUUAAUAAGGUUGUGUACUUCUUGCGUACUUUUAGGUACUAUACUUUGGCUCAUGCUGUGAGUGAGAGAGUUACAAAGCAGCCAUCGCUGUUGCGAGCAGGAACUUUAAGGGACUACCAACUGGUGGGAUGUCUACUUUUAUAUGAAGCAAUAUUCAUUUCAUUGUAAUUAUGUCCUGUCACAGGAGAUCUUAGAAUUCAUUUUGUUGGUUAUUCAGGUGGGCCUACAGUGGAUGCUUUCUUUGUACAAUAAUAAGUUGAAUGGUAUUUUGGCUGAUGAGAUGGGUCUUGGCAAGACUGUGCAGGUGUGUAGCAUCCCUUUCUUAAUCUUGUUCCGGUUUGCUUCCUGUACUCUUGUCAUAUCGCGAUAUUUUUCUUACCAUUAAUGCUCCCUCUUUUCAUUCGAUCCAAUGCUGCUAGUUUAUUUGUAUGGCUGCACUAUUUGUUAUAACAGGUUAUGGCAUUGAUCGCAUACCUGAUGGAGUUUAAAGGGAAUUAUGGCCCACAUCUCAUAAUAGUGCCAAAUGCUGUCUUGGUCAAUUGGAAGGUGUGUCUUUAAUGUCAUUUCAUGCUUUGAGGAGUUAUUUUUUUGUUUCCAUUUUUUGAUAAAGUAUUUGUUAUAGAAACUUACAUUUUGCUGCGAUGCCUGUUCUUGGUUCAGAGUGAACUGCUAAAUUGGCUGCCAUCUGCAUCUUGCAUCUUUUAUGUUGGUGCAAAGGACCAAAGGCAGAAGCUGUUCUCUCAAGUAAGCUGUCCUUUUUUUCCAGUAGCUUUUCAUAUGUCAGGCCUGCACUUACCUUGCAAAUUUUAUUCUAGCAAAUUUGCUGGUACUUUGUUUGUUCUGAACAAAAACAAUCAAUUCCGUUUACUCGGCCCUGCCAUCCUUGUUUGAAAACAUUAUAGGAGAUAGGCUAUAAUCAUGCACUAUUUGAUUUUGAAGGAACCACAUGCAAUGCUUGCCUUUUAUUGGUUUUGUUUUGAUGCCAACUGUAUCCAUCCUAAAUAAAAAUAUACAAAUUAUUUGGAAUAAAUUAAAUUAUGCUGUACACGAUGCUUUUUUACUUUUCUAGGUCGGUGUACAUCGGUCCAUGUAAAGGUGCAUGUUUUGUACAGGGGUACUGUUUUCUUCGUUUAGUGGCUGCUGUUACCAGUUGACCCCUGUUAUUUCUUUACUGAAAGUCAUGCUUGCCGCAUUCUGUUGUUUUGCAUUGACAAGAUAUUUUGUAGCAAAUACAUGUGGAUGGAUUUUCUUGUAUUUAGUUCUUGUAGAUAUUCUACUUCUAAUUUUUGACUCGUCUUGCAGGAGGUUUUGGCCAUGAAGUUUAAUGUUCUUGUGACAACAUAUGAAUUUGUUAUGUUUGACCGUUCCAAGCUUUCGAGGAUUGAUUGGAAGUACAUUAUAAUUGACGAGGCACAACGUAUGAAGGACAGGGACUCAGUCUUGGCUCGUGAUCUUGAUCGCUAUCGUUGCCAACGACGCCUCCUUCUCACUGGUACUCCUCUACAGGUAAACCAAAUAAAUGUGUAUUGCUAUUGUUGCCACUAUAGCUUUACUAUCAUAUGAUAGUUUGAGGGAGCCUCUUCUUUUUUAGUGAUGAUAGGAGCCCCAUUUCUUUUUUGCCAGUGUAGCUAUUUUAUCACCCUUUUUUGCUGUAUACUUUUAUUGUCAUUAUUUUUAAUGCCAUUGGAAAUUGAUUACAGAAUGAUCUCAAGGAGCUCUGGUCCCUCUUGAAUCUGUUGCUUCCAGAAGUAUUUGACAGUAGUAAGGCAUUCCAAGAUUGGUUCUCUAAGCCAUUUCAGAGGGAUGGUCCGACACACAGUGCAGAAGAAGAUGAUUGGCUUGAGACGGAGAAGAAAGUAAUAAUCAUUCACAGAUUGCAUCAGAUUUUGGAACCUUUCAUGCUACGUAGGCGUCUGGAAGAUGUUGAAGGCUCACUUCCACGAAAGGUGCUAUCCUUUUCUCGGUUGUUACUCAUUGGUCAAUUUGUUCGGUAAGUUUGAAAAUUAUUAAUCCAGCAUGUUGUUGCAGGAUUCCAUUGUUUUGAGGUGCAGAAUGUCUGCGGUUCAAGGAGCUAUAUAUGAUUGGAUCAAAUCUACCGGUACUAUUAGAGUUGAUCCUGAAGAUGAGAAAAAGCGUGCACAAAGGAAUCCCAUGUAUCAGUCCAAGACAUACAAGAAUCUCAACAACAAGUGCAUGGAGCUAAGAAAAGUUUGUAACCAUCCUCUUCUGUCAUAUCCAUUCUUGAAUCAUGGGAAAGAUUUUAUGAUCAGAUCUUGUGGGAAGUUAUGGAAUCUUGAUAGAAUUUUAAUUAAGCUUCAUAAGGCAGGCCAUCGUGUUCUCCUUUUUAGCACAAUGACGAAACUUCUUGACAUCAUGGAAGACUAUUUGCAAUGGAGACGACUUGUUUACAGGCGCAUUGAUGGAACAACAAGCUUGGAAGAUCGAGAGUCAGCGAUCGUUGACUUCAACAGGCCUGGUUCUGAUUGUUUUAUAUUCUUGCUUAGUAUUCGUGCUGCCGGUAGGGGUCUCAAUCUUCAGAGCGCAGACACUGUUGUAAUAUAUGACCCUGAUCCAAAUCCACAAAAUGAAGAGCAAGCAGUUGCUAGGGCCCAUCGUAUAGGGCAGACUAGGGAGGUAAAGGUUAUUUACAUGGAGGCUGUUGUCGAUAACAUAUCAAGUUAUCAGAAAGAGGAUGAGUUGAGAAAUGGUGGGAGUGGAGAUUUGGAGGAUGAUCUUGCUGGGAAAGACAGGUACAUGGGAUCAAUUGAAAGUCUCAUCCGCAACAAUAUCCAACAAUACAAAAUUGAUAUGGCGGAUGAGGUCAUUAAUGCUGGUCGUUUUGAUCAAAGAACAACCCAUGAGGAAAGGCGGAUGACUUUGGAGACACUCCUGCAUGAUGAUGAGAGAUACCAAGAAACUGUCCAUGAUGUGCCUUCAUUACAGGAAGUGAACCGAA